GCUAAGGCUGAUGGCGACCGGCGCACGGGUGAGUAACACGUAUCCAACCUGCCGUCUACUCUUGGCCAGCCUUCUGAAAGGAAGAUUAAUCCAGGAUGGGAUCAUGAGUUCACAUGUCCGCAUGAUUAAAGGUAUUUUCCGGUAGACGAUGGGGAUGCGUUCCAUUAGAUAGUAGGCGGGGUAACGGCCCACCUAGUCAACGAUGGAUAGGGGUUCUGAGAGGAAGGUCCCCCACAUUGGAACUGAGACACGGUCCAAACUCCUACGGGAGGCAGCAGUGAGGAAUAUUGGUCAAUGGGCGAUGGCCUGAACCAGCCAAGUAGCGUGAAGGAUGACUGCCCUAUGGGUUGUAAACUUCUUUUAUAAAGGAAUAAAGUCGGGUAUGCAUACCCGUUUGCAUGUACUUUAUGAAUAAGGAUCGGCUAACUCCGUGCCAGCAGCCGCGGUAAUACGGAGGAUCCGAGCGUUAUCCGGAUUUAUUGGGUUUAAAGGGAGCGUAGAUGGAUGUUUAAGUCAGUUGUGAAAGUUUGCGGNUCAACCGUAAAAUUGCAGUUGAUACUGGAUGUCUUGAGUGCAGUUGAGGCAGGCGGAAUUCGUGGUGUAGCGGUGA
rnacentral:rRNA from 1 species